rnacentral:rRNA from 1 species
UACAGAGGUCUCGAGCGUUAGGCGGAAUCACUGGGCUUAAAGCGUGUGUAGGCGGGUCGUUAAGUAACUUGUGAAAUCCCAUGGCUCAACCAUGGAACUGCUUGGUAUACUGGCGAUCUUGUGCAACCUAGGGGCGAGCGGAACAGAUGGUGGAGCGGUGAAAUGCGUAGAUAUCAUCUGGAACGCCAAUGGUGAAAACAGCUCGCUGGGGGUUUGCAGACGCUGAGACACGAAAGCCAGGGGAGCGAACGGG